ACAACAUUCAGAGGGAAGCUUUAUUUAAACCGCGUUCAACUGCAGAUAAAACAACAUUCAGAGGUGACUUUAACAACGCUCCACGGCGCGUGGGAGUAGCAUUUUAAGCGUUUUCUGAUCAUGUAGGUAAGUGCUUUGAUUACCUUUAGACGUGAUGCAUGCUGGGAGGCAAAUAUUUUUUUAUCAAAGGCUCGUUGAUGGUAAUAAAUAUACAUAUAAAUAUACAUUUUACUAUACUACGAUUGUGUUCGAUUAAUUAAUGGGUUGUUUAAUUAUUAAUUUGUUUAUUUUAAAUCCUGUAAUUUAACAACUCUGACGUCAUCGAAUGCGACGAUGCCAAGGUCCAUUGCGAUUUCCACUCGGUGCGAGCCAAGCCAAUUUUAUUUAUUGGGAAACAGGAUAAAAAGGCUUCGAAUAAGUGGGUUGCAUAUAUUGUUACCCAUUGGCACCCCACUCCUGUCACUACAAUUUUUUGGAGGAGAUGCGGAGGGCUUUAUCUUGACAAAAGCAACCUCCACAGGACAGCAGCCUGAGAGCCUUGCCAUGGAGCGGCCUAAGAGCCCUGCUGUGAAAUGGCCGGAGAACCUCACCAAGAAGUCUGAGGCAAUAUUUGUACUAAAUCUUGUUCUUCUGUCUUCUAGACUCUUUCCAACCUCUCUUGCUCCUACUACCUCUACUGCUUUUACAACAAUUUUCUCUCCACUUUUUUCCCCACCUCCACUGCCAUGCUCUAAGUUUUUGCCACAGAGGAAGAGGAAGAUAAAGAAAUCUACCUCUUCCCACUAUACCACACUUGUCUCUCUUCAAUUUGCAUCUGUCUCUUCCAGUUCUAAAUCUCAGAAGUGGCCACUGGUGAAGAACAGAAUAAAGGAUAACUUUUCCUGUUACAUCUUACUCCACAAUUUGCUCCUAGUCAAAUAUGUCUUCAUGUUAAUUAAAUUCAUUUAGCUAACCAGGUAUUUGUUAGCCAGUUCACAGUGUUUUAGAGCCCAAUGUCCAAGGACUGUGGUCAAUGUAAAUUCCUGACUUAAAGGGACACUUCACUUUUUUUUGCUAAUUUUCCAGAAGUUUUACCGUUUUAGAAUCCAUUCAGCUGAUCUCCGCGUCUGGCACUACCACUUUUAGCAUAGCUUAGCAUAAUACAU